CUUUCCCAUGCUAUUCUCGUGGUGGUGAAUAAGUCUCACAAGAUCUGACGGGUUUAUCAGGGGUUUCCGCUUUUGCUUCUUCCUCAUUUUUCUCUUGCCCCUUGCCACGCAAGAAGUGCCUUUUGCCUCCCACCAUAAUUCUGAGGCCUCCCCAACCAUGUGGAACUGCCUAUCUGUUUGCAAGUCUGCACUGUUUGAGAACCUCUUGAAAGCCCCACAGAGCUUGUUGGUGUCACCCUGGUUCUGGGCACACUCCAAAAACUGUUUGAUCUCAUGGAAACAAGGCUGCUGCUGCUGUGCUGGCCAGGUUCCCUGAUGCUGCUGAUGGAGUCUCACUUUGUCACCAAGCUGGAGUGUGGUGGCAUGAUCUUGGCUCACUGCAACCUCCCAGGUUCAAGCUAUUCUCCUGCCUCAGCCUCCCGAGUAGCUGGGACUACAGGCGCACGCCACCACACCCAGCUAAUUUUUGUAUUUUUAGUAGAGACAGGGUUUCACCAUGUUCGCCAGGGUGGUCUCUAUUUCUUGACCUCGUGAUUUGCCCACCUUGGCCUUCCAAAGUGCUGGGAUUACAGGCAUGAGUCACUGUGCCCGGCCUAAUUUUGAUUUUUUAAAACAUUUAAUUAAAAUGUUAUUUAAUUACUGAGUUUUUGGUAUCCCUGUCAUUUUUGUGCCCUGGGAAAGAAAGUACCUCCCCACCUUACCCAGCCCUGGCCCUGCUGGAGA
rnacentral:lncRNA from 1 species